GACGUAGGGUCCAAGCGUUGUCCGGAUUUACUGGGCGUAAAGAGCGCGUAGGCGGCUCGUUAAGUGUGAAGUGAAAUCUCCAGGGCUCAACCCGGAAACUGCUUCGCAUACUGGCGAGCUGGAGUGAUGAAGAGGUUGUGGAAUUCCUGGUGUAGCGGUGAAAUGCGUUGAUAUCAGGAGGAACACCGAUGGCGAAGGCAGCAAACUGGUCAUCAACUGACGCUGAGGCGCGAAAGCGUGGGUAGCAAACAGG
rnacentral:rRNA from 1 species